rnacentral:rRNA from 1 species
AAUAGAUACCCCGGUAGUCCACGCCGUAAACGAUGAGUGCUAAGUGUUAGGGGGUUUCCGCCCCUUAGUGCUGCAGCUAACGCAUUAAGCACUUCGCCUGGGGAGUACGGUCGCAAGACUGAAACUCAAAGGAAUUGACGGGGGCCCGCACAAGCGGUGGAGCAUGUGGUUUAAUUCGAAGCAACGCGAAGAACCUUACCAGGUCUUGACAUCCCACUGACCGCUAUGGAGACAUAGCUUUCCCUUCGGGGACAGUGGUGACAGGUGGUGCAUGGUUGUCGUCAGCUCGUGUCGUGAGAUGUUGGGUUAAGUCCCGCAACGAGCGCAACCCUUGUUCUUAGUUGCCAUCAUUUAGUUGGGCACUCUAAGGAGACUGCCGGUGACAAACCGGAGGAAGGUGGGGAUGACGUCAAAUCAUCAUGCCCCUUAUGACCUGGGCUACACACGUGCUACAAUGGACGGUACAAACGGUUGCCAACCCGCGAGGGGGAGCUAAUCCGAUAAAACCGUUCUCAGUUCGGAUUGUAGGCUGCAACUCGCCUAC